UUCGAGCUCCAUUCCCAAAUCAAACACAAGCUUCUUCCUCUCUCCCUGACACGAGCUACUUCUUCUCUCCAUGGCUGCUACUUCUGCUUCUUCCGCCGCAGCCGUUGCCGCUAUCGCUGCCGCCACCGCUUGCAUCGCACAAUCUCUCUCUGUCAUCCCUUGCAUCGCACGAGAUCCCUCCGCCGCCGCUCUCGUCGCGUCUACUCCCAUCGUUGCAGAGCUCUCUCUGCCGCCGCUCUCAUCGCAUAUGCUCCCUCUGGCGCCUCUUCCAUCUAAUCUCAACUCGCUCUCUCAGUUCUUCUCGUAACGAUCUCAAAUUUCAGUGUUACAGCUCAAGAUCUUGUUGACAUUAUGCUUCUAAAUUUGCUUCUAAAUUUCUGAUAUCUUCACUCUUAACGAUGGAUCUGUAACGCCUCUACUCAAGAGCAUGACAGUGCAUAAUAUAUAUGUUGGAGAGGGUUCAGACUUCCAAUGUAAUAUAUAAAAGGGUGGCUAAGCAGCAGGGUUCUCUUGGUG